GAUGAACGCUGGCGGCGUGCCUAAUACAUGCAAGUCGAGCGAACAGACGAGGAGCUUGCUCCUCUGACGUUAGCGGCGGACGGGUGAGUAACACGUGGAUAACCUACCUAUAAGACUGGGAUAACUUCGGGAAACCGGAGCUAACACCGGAUAAUAUAUUGAACCGCAUGGUUCAAUAGUGAAAGACGGUUUUGCUGUCACUUAUAGAUGGAUCCGCGCCGCAUUAGCUAGUUGGUAAGGUAACAGCUUACCAAGGCAACGAUGCGUAGCCGACCUGAGAGAGUGAUCGGCCACACUGGAACUGGGACACGGUCCAGACUCCUACGGGAGGCAGCAGUAGGGAAUCUUCCGCAAUGGGCGAAAGCCUGACGGAGCAACGCCGCGUGAGUGAUGAAGGUCUUCGGAUCGUAAAACUCUGUUAUUAGGGAAGAACAAAUGUGUAAGUAACUAUGCACGUCUUGACGGUACCUAAUCAGAAAGCCACGGCUAACUACGUG
rnacentral:rRNA from 1 species